UUUACAUUUGAGCAUAGUUACCGAGAUUUCUUUGUCCUACUUGUACUUCCUAUUCAAAAUGGUGAACUUAUGGAGAACCGAAAUUCUCCCUGUUUAAUUAUAUAUAUAUAUAUAUAUAUUUAUAACAUUGAUUUUUAUUCAGAUAGUAAAGCAGUAUGAUAGAUAGAAGAAACUUGUCGCUGAAUAUCUUAAUUUGACUUUAAACUUAUAUCAUCUUAUUCUGUCUGGUAGAAUAUCAAUAUUCAAGGUCAACCGGACAUCAAAAAACAAAUCCUGGCACAAGCCUCAGUAACAAGGUUUUAUUGGUAUCGUCAAAUAGAAGUCUGCAACAUUCUCGAAUGCUUCUAUCAGUGAUCGGCCUUUCGCAAUCGUUCACGCUAUUGGAUAAACUUACUCAACAAAAAUGUCAGUUUAAUGUGUCUUCUGGAAACAAGAUUGAACGGUAGAGAACAAUUAAAUCAAGUACCUACGCUCAAACUGAUCACGUAUUAUAAUACGUAGAUGAUAGAUCUACAUGGUCUAAAAUCAAUAGCAGCAUAGAACAGAUCCCGUUAUAAUAUUGUUAAUGUAUUAAUAAUAUUUUUAAUUUUUGAAAAUAAAUUUAAUUCUUCUU